rnacentral:tRNA from 1 species
GCCUGGGUGGCUCAGUCGGUUGAGCGUGUGACUUCAGCUCGGGUCAUGAUCUCACGGUUCGUGGGUUCGAGCCCCGCGUCGGGCU